GAACUUACCUGGCGCCGAGUUCGGAGUGAUCAGCGAGGCUCUGACCCCAGGUGGGGGCUCAGCAUUGCACUUCGCAGUGUUGAAGCCUACGACGCUGCGACGAACUCUAAUCGGGUUCGCCCGGGUGCAUAUUUUUGCCAGUGGGGAGCCUUCGGACAUCUAUU
rnacentral:snRNA from 12 species